rnacentral:lncRNA from 1 species
GGGAUGGGCUGAAGGCAGCAGUUCCUUUCCCGAGGUAUUCAGGUUCUUCCGGGUGCAGGUAGUGCCUGUGACAGCCUUCCGCCGGCAGCUGCACGGGGGGCUGCAGCUCAGCCAGGGUCCCUGCAGCAGGGCUGCCUAGGAAACUGCGUUUGGUCGCGUUGGAGAUCGGUACAGGAGGCCGGCUGCUCUUCUGGUGUAACACUGUUUUCGCGUCUUUCAGCUCCUGAACAUCCCUGGGCUGAACAAAAUCUGGCUUGACAUUCUCGAACCACCAAAAAAGCUCCGCAAUAAAAACCAUAACAUUCGGCUUCAACACUAAUGGCGCAUACAGCAUAUCUUCCAAGGUGAGAUAAAAACAUUUAUUAAGAUAUUCAUUGGAGAAUUCUCUCAGAAGCCGAAUAUUAUACAGACUGUCGGCCAUCGACGUUACCUCCUUUAAGCAUAUAUCAUCCAGUUUCAUCUGCUCUGGGCAAUAAUAGUGAAUCACAGCUAAGAGAGCAGCACCAUCACUGCCGUCUCUCAUCAAAUCCUCCAACAACGGGAAGUAGGGUGACUGCCUAGCAGAAAGGUGCUCUCGUCGAUAGCGGACCUUUUGAUGAGCUGGACUUUCCAAUAACUGUUGUUUUAAUUUAACUUCUUUCUCUGUUAUCUCUCUCAUUUUAAGAUUUACCUUGUUGAUCCAGAACACCAUGGCAUCCUCGAGGUCGUACGGAAGUUCUUUCGAGGCACUGAACGUUGAGAAGCGCUUGACACUGGCCACCACCUUCUCGAUGCUGAUCAUCUCCACAGUGUAGGCCAUCAUCAGGGCAUCCACCAUUGCCAUGUGGGCACUCAUUUUUAUGGGUGCGCGACUGAGGUCGGACUCUGUCACGGGGGUGUCAUCACUCUCCAUCACAUAGAUCCCUUUCCGGGACAGGGCCUGGAUGACAGACUGGUGUCCCUGUAAGGCGGCCACCUGGUCCCCUUUCAGGAUGAGGCUGCAGACACGGCAGUACAGCUCGCUGGACAGGAGAAGCUUGAUAACAGGCGGCUUAAUGUGCUCCUGCUCAUACUGGUCAACGUAGAAAGGGUCUCUGAGGUCCUCAGGGAUGUUAUCUCGGCCGUAGGCCUUGGCGCAGAUCCACUGCAGGUUGGCGGCGAUCUUGGCGCGCGCCGCGUCGUAGCGGUCCAGGGGCACGAGGUCGGCGGCGCCGUCCGGCGGGGCCUCCAUCUUCCUCCAGCCCUCGGCGGCGGC